UACGGAGGGUGCAAGCGUUAUCCGGAUUUACUGGGUUUAAAGGGUGCGUAGGUGGGUAGGAAAGUCAGUGGUGAAAUCUUCGGGCUUAACCCGGAAACUGCCAUUGAUACUAUUUAUCUUGAAUACUUUGGAGGUAAGCGGAAUAUGUCAUGUAGCGGUGAAAUGCUUAGAUAUGACAUAGAACACCAAAUUGCGAAGGCAGCUUACUACACAGUUAUUGACACUGAGGCACGAAAGCGUGGGGAGCAAACGGG
rnacentral:rRNA from 1 species